GUGCUCACUUCCGCAGCACAUAUACUAAAAGUCAAACGAUACAGAGAAGAUUAGGAUGGCCCCUGCACGAGGAUGACACGCAAAUUUGUGAAGCAUUUUAUAUUUAA